rnacentral:rRNA from 1 species
GACGAACCGUGCGAACGUUGUUCGGAUUCACUGGGCUUAAAGGGCGCGUAGGCGGGCCAUCAAGUCAGGGGUGAAAUCUUUCGGCUCAACCGGAAAAGUGCCUUUGAUACUGGUGGUCUCGAGGGAGGUAGGGGCAUGCGGAACUUCCGGUGGAGCGGUGAAAUGCGUAGAUAUCGGAAGGAACGCCGGUGGCGAAAGCGGCGUGCUGGACCUCUUCUGACGCUGAGGCGCGAAAGCUAGGGGAGCAAACGGG